GAUGAACGCUGGCGGCGUGCCUAACACAUGCAAGUUGAACGAAGACAUACCGACGGAAUCCUUCGGGAGGAAGAUGGUAUGGACUGAGUGGCGGACGGGUGAGUAACGCGUGGGUAACCUGCCCUGUACAGGGGGACAACAGUUAGAAAUGACUGCUAAUACCGCAUAAGCGCACGGUAUCGCAUGAUACAGUGUGAAAAACUCCGGUGGUAUAAGAUGGACCCGCGUCUGAUUAGCUAGUUGGUGAGGUAACGGCCCACCAAGGCGACGAUCAGUAGCCGGCCUGAGAGGGUGAACGGCCACAUUGGGACUGAGACACGGCCCAAAACUCCUACGGGAGGCAGCAGUGGGG
rnacentral:rRNA from 1 species